AUGCACUUGCACUCGGCGAAUCCCCGUGCUUGGCGAGUUGCUGACUCCAGGCACCAGACCUGCCUGCCGCCACUUGUCACUGAAGGUAAUUUGAGACUCGGUGAGGAAAAGAGACAUGCCUGCGGUCAUCCCAGGAAUGUGUUAUCUCAUGCCAUCCUCUCAACAACCUACAGUAUCAGGGAGCUAAAGCACGUGGAUGGGAUAACCUGCUCAGACUCUCACUCAGCUCAUGAGACAUGGAGCCUAUUCUAUUUUGGACGCCAAGCACUGGCAGGUAACUGGCCUUUCACGAGACCCGUCUCAGUGGAGCCCCUCCCAGAGCAGCCUGCACGAAGGCCAGGUCAGCACUGGGCCCUUGAGAAGACCCCUGAUGCUGUGAUGCUCUGCCCGGCCUGAGCCUUGGCCUGGAGCCAGGGCCUGGAAAGCUUUGGAGGCGCCAUCCUUGGAGCAGGCCUGCUUCCCACAGUCAGGCCCAUCUCGGAGCUUCUGCACUCUGAAAGAUUCCUGCCCCAGACCUUGACCAGGGUCCCAGGGUCAGAUAGGCCAAGCCCUGGCCGUCGGGCACAGUUGUCACAGAUAGGCUGGCAUUGCCCAAAGGGGCCUGGUUUAGAAAAGAGGAGAGAAAAAGCACAAAGAGCACAAGCCAGCUGGGCUCACACAGGCAGCCCCUGUGACUAACCCGCUCUGGGAUCCACCAAAGAACACCACCUCUUAGCCCCUGAUAGAGCAAGAGUGGGCUUGUCCCUGCCCACAGACCUGGAGCCCCACUGCCCUUCCUCCCCGUGCCCCCCGCCCCCACACACAGGCCUGCCUCCAGAUUACCCUGGCAGGGAGAUCAGCUAGCUCCCACUUUACAUAAACUGCAUGUCUGGGCUCUGUCGGAGGCCCUUCACUUGUAUCAUCCCAUUUACUCAUGUCACCCCUGCCAAGUAGGUGUGACUAGUGUUAUCGCAAUCUCCAGUUUAGACUUGAGGACGUGGAGCUGAGAGGUCAAGCGUGGGGCUUCAGGCCACUAGUUCAUGUGUGAAGGAGUGGGAACCGGAAUCCAGUGGUCAAACGUCUCCCCAGAUCUCAUGGCUCGUCCACAGGCAGCUGGCCUGAAACCACCAGGCUUGCACCCAGCUGCUGGGUGGUGGUCUCACACUCCCCCUCCCCCUCCUCCCACCGCCGGCAGCUUGCUUAGCACUUGGGCCCAAAACAGUCCAGUCCCAGUACCUGAGCACAACUCUCCUGCUACACACGGCUCCGUGCCUCAGCCAGCUCCCUGCUCCGACCCUUGCUCUCACGUCCCGCUAUAGAACGAACAGUUCCUUCCUCUGGCCUUUGAUGCAUCUUGCACACGCUUCUGCACUUCUGUUUUUACAUCUAGGACAUUAUUGUCACUAUUCACAUGGCU
rnacentral:lncRNA from 1 species